UAAAUGUACACAAAACAGCAUUUGAUAAAAUCCAACCUCUAUUCAAGAUAAAACUAUCAGCUGCUUAUAUCACACCCGAAAGGAAUCUGGGGUUCACUGUGCUAACGGGCAUAAGACUUCUGGCCUUCCUAUGAACAGAUACUCUACAUGU
rnacentral:snoRNA from 1 species